rnacentral:tRNA from 1 species
GGGCCUGUAGUUCAAUUGGCUAGAAUGCCGCAUUCGCAUUGCGGAGGUCGUGGGUUCGAGUCCCACCAGGUCCAC